UACAGAGGUGGCAAGCGUUGUUCGGAAUUACUGGGCGUAAAGGGCGCGUAGGCGGCAUGGCAAGUCAGGAGUGAAAGGCCUGGGCUCAACCGAGGAACUGCUUUUGAUACUGCCAAGCUAGAGUGCGGAAGGGGCAACUGGAAUUCCCAGUGUAGCGGUGAAAUGCGUAGAUAUUGGGAAGAACACCUGAGGCGAAGGCGGGUUGCUGGGCCGACACUGACGCUGAGGCGCGAAAGCCAGGGGAGCAAACGGG
rnacentral:rRNA from 1 species